rnacentral:rRNA from 1 species
GACGAACGCUGGCGGCGUGCCUAAUACAUGCAAGUCGAGCGCAGGAAAUCGACGGAACCCUUCGGGGGGAAGUCGACGGAAUGAGCGGCGGACGGGUGAGUAACACGUAAAGAACCUGCCCUCAGGUCUGGGAUAACCACGAGAAAUCGGGGCUAACACCGGAUGGGUCAUCGGACCGCAUGGUCCGAGGAUGAAAGGCGCUGCGGCGUCGCCUGGGGCCGGCUUUGCGGUGCAUUAGCUAGUUGGUGGGGUAAUGGCCCACCAAGGCGACGAUGCAUAGCCGACCUGAGAGGGUGAUCGGCCACACUGGGACUGAGACACGGCCCAGACUCCUACGGGAGGCAGCAGUAGGGAAUCUUCCACAAUGGACGAAAGUCUGAUGGAGCAACGCCGCGUGAACGAUGAAGGCCUUCGGGUCGUAAAGUUCUGUUGUAAGGGAAGAACAAGUGCCGCAGGCAAUGGCGGCACCUUGACGGUACCUUGCGAGAAAGCCACGGCUAACUACGUGCCAGCCGCCGCCGUAA